UACGUAGGGGCUAGCGUUAUCCGGAAUUACUGGGCGUAAAGGGUGCGUAGGUGGUUUCUUAAGUCAGAGGUGAAAGGCUACGGCUCAACCGUAGUAAGCCUUUGAAACUGGGAAACUUGAGUGCAGGAGAGGAGAGUGGAAUUCCUAGUGUAGCGGUGAAAUGCGUAGAUAUUAGGAGGAACACCAGUUGCGAAGGCGGCUCUCUGGACUGUAACUGACACUGAGGCACGAAGGCGUGGGGAGCAAACAGGAUUAGAUACCCCCGUAGUCUCUGAG
rnacentral:rRNA from 1 species